rnacentral:rRNA from 1 species
CCUACGGGCGGCAGCAGUGGGGAAUAUUGGACAAUGGGGGCAACCCUGAUCCAGCCAUGCCGCGUGUGUGAAGAAGGCCCUCGGGUUGUAAAGCACUUUCAGUGAGGAAGAACGCCUGGUGGUUAAUACCCAUCAGGAAAGACAUCACUCACAGAAGAAGCACCGGCUAACUCCGUGCCAGUAGCCGCGGUAAUACGGAGGGUGCGAGCGUUAAUCGGAAUUACUGGGCGUAAAGCGCGCGUAGGUGGCUUGAUAAGCCGGUUGUGAAAGCCCCGGGCUCAACCUGGGAACGGCAUCCGGAACUGUCAAGCUAGAGUGCAGGAGAGGAAGGUAGAAUUCCCGGUGUAGCGGUGAAAUGCGUAGAGAUCGGGAGGAAUACCAGUGGCGAAGGCGGCCUUCUGGACUGACACUGACACUGAGGUGCGAAAGCGUGGGUAGCAAACAGGAUUAGAUACCCUGGUAGUC